UGAGUAAGAAAGACGUCAACCCUGUGACCCGUGGACAUUGGGAGCAAAAGAUAAGCCUAGUUGGCACACAUGCCUCCUGCAGCAAGGACGGCGUGUAGAGGAGGCUGUGUCCAUCCCACCUGCACACUGCAAGCAACAGCUCUUGUGGGGACACAGUGGGGUGGUGAAAAACUCCAGCAGCACCCUCAUAGGAAAACACAGCCCUGCCCAAGCCCUGCAGUGGGACUGGCUGUACCAGCCUUGAAAGUGCAUUUGUUUCAGGUAUUGUCCCAUUUAAUAGGACUGGCAGUUGCCAAGACUAUCUGCACCACCCUGAUAUAAAACAGCAGGGAGGAAAGGGGUGGAUGAAAACAUCUCAAGAUGACAAGAUCAGCAAUGAAAACAAGCCAGCUUGGGACACGAGCCAUGCCAACAACAUCCAAACCAUGGGACCCCGAGCAGGAGAGGUGUGUGGGGAGGGGACGCUUGGCUGAGCACCAUGCUCUCUGUCCCACCAAGUCCUGCACACACCGUGUGUUUUCCAACAACAUCCAGCUGGGAAACCAGGUGGGUUCCAGCCCUGCAAAGUCCUGGUGCUGUCCUUGACAGAGCCCCACACAUCCACUGGAGACCAGAGGUGCUCACACACAUGGGGAGGGUCUGCUGGGUCCUACUGGAAGCCCCCCCUGGCUGUACCUGGACCUUUGCACAACGCUAUUUGCUAAAAUGGGAUCAAAAAGCUCAUGUGUUACUUUUGAUGCUAUCGAAGGACUUGGACUCUUCAGUAAGUCACAGGCGUAAAAAACUCAGGAUGCUAUUCUAGUGCUUCCUCUGCUUAAAAAUAGCUUCCCUUGACUCGCUGAUGUUUGUUGCCUCUAAUAGGAACCGGUCACCCAUGGAGCACAGCAGCACUGUAUGGAACACAUCCACCACGUGAACUCUUGUGAAAGAGGGCUUGCACCCGCACGGAACACCCCAGGGCCAGGAGGGGAGCCCAGCCCUGCCCAGCCCUUUCUGCUGAGUCCAGCCCUGUUCUGCCCAGCAUUGUGGGGGUGUAUCUGACCCCUCUUUUUGUCAUGCCAAAAUCUCAGAGGCACCCUGGAACAACGAGCUGCAUGGGCCAGCAGUGGCCGUGGAAAUAAGUGGUUUUAAAUCCAUUUGCGAGUGUUGUCAUCUGCCUUUAAAUCAAGCUGCCUUGAUGCCGCCACCUCCCACAAGGCAGCAACCAAAGCCUUCCCCACGUGCCUCCCACACAUGGGCUCAGAAGGCCACUGAGGGGCAGCUAUGGUGGCACCAGCAUCCUGGUACAGGGCCACCAUCACAGCCCCGCGCUGGGCGCUGCCUCUGCUCAUGCCUUUGCCCAACCCAGGCUGGGGCAACGCUAAGCCAGGGGACAAAAUUGAUGGCAUCAACCAUGGAGCUUCAGUGGGGUUUGGUGGGGCUCCUCCCCAAUGUUUGGGAGCGCAGUGGGGAGGUGCACCAGGUCCUGCCAUGGAUGGAGAAGCGCCCAGUGCAGAACCAGGCUCUGCCACGAGGCGAUGGGGAAGAACCCAACACAGAGACCCAGAGUGACAGAAAGGCAGAGCAAAACCACACCCUGCAGCAGGUAACGACCAUCCCAAAGACCGAAGGAGGCCAGUCCCUCACGCUCCCCAUCCGGGCUGACCGCGCAGGUGACACCGGCGCUGGGCCCCUCGUGUGUGGCACCGUCCCCGUCGGCGUUCGCAGGCCGUACCCGGCUGAUUCCUGGCAGCUGCGAGCGACGCCUGUGCCGGCCGUCACGUCCCAUUCCGCUCCUCGGGCCGCCCGGUGAGAGAAGGACACAGGAUGCGCCGGGAGUGAAAGAGCGAGGUCGGCGGGGAGCGUGCCAAGUCCCCUCGCACAGCUCCGGGCCGCUCGGGGAGCCAGAGGGAAACUCGCCUUUGCAGAGUUCAGAGGCCGGCAGCGAGAUUUAUUUUUGUUUGUGCACCGAAUCACGUCCACUCACAGCCCACAGCCCGGCUGCGGUUCCCUGGGCAGGGACUUCUCCCAGGAGCUCGGCAGGAGCCGGAGGUGGCUCCCCCGGCUGCCCCAGCUGGUGGCAGCACUGAGAUCACACACUCCCGCUCGCACAGUCCCAAAUUCCCAACUCAUCCAUCAGCUGGAAUCACCUGGGGGAUUCCCCGGAAGCCGGCUGCCUGGCCGAGGGAUUCAAGUUCAAGAAGGGGACCGCUCCUCACCACACACAAACCGUGAGGCUGCAUUUCCUGCGGUGCCACAGCGGAGUGAUGUCCGCUGGGAACACAGCACGGGCUUUGCACUGGCUGCCAGACAGACCAGGAGCCGCAGCCCCGCAGGGCUGGGUGCGGGAUGGGUCACCCGGGCCGACACCACUGUGCCACAGCUGUCACCACUGUGCCACCGCCUCUGCUGCCCGAGCCUCAAUCCCGCAGCGGGGCAACCUGGCGCUGCUGCCCGCCGGCUCCCCGUGCACUCGGAGGGGGACAAGAGGUGAAUUUUCCAGGAGCUGAAAACAAUGCCUCCUUCGCAUCUCGCUCCAAAGGUUUCCUCCUCCCAAGGUUCGUCCGCAGCAGCGUCUUCCUCAGCAGUGAACGUGCCCCGUGCCUGGUAGCAAGCCGGGGCCGCCGCCGUGGCGGAGCCGCCGUGGGUGGGUGUGCGUCUUCCGCAGCCGGCAGGCACCCGAUCCCAGGCAGGUGCGUGUCAGCGCGUGUGCACCGCAGCAUUGUUCCUGCGCCAGGAGCGGAGCGUGAAUGGGAUGCGGCUAUAUUUAGCGGGUUACUCACAGCACCGCCACAAAGGAGCGGCUGCAUCUUAAGGGGGCGGCCGUUCCGUGGGCUCAGAAGGGACAGGAGCGGGGCUAUUUUGGGAAGACAUGUCAUAAUUGGCCGCCCGGUUAAGCUGCUUCUGUAAUGCUCAGCAAAACAAUAGCAGCAUCCAGAGGAAGAGCCUGUUAUGUUUCAGGUGGGAUGUUUUCAACCGUUCAGGAAACUCGACCGCUCCCAGCGCACAGCAGAGGCACAAAGGACAGGGGACACCGAGCGGCGCGGACCGAGGGCCAUGCCAAGCGUGGGGGUGGAUGGAGGCGCAGGACGUGGCCUCGCUCCACCUGCCUGCCCGGCCUCCCUGCAAACCCCAGCCAGGCAGCAAAGGGCUGCCCGUUGCAAAGAGGGCUGCAAAAGGCUGAGCUCUAAAGCCAUUCUACCCCAUCUCAUCUGCUCAGUGUGAUGUUCCGGAGCUGAGCUCUCUAUGCUGGCCCCAGGGGCCACCCCUAUUUAACUAUUCACUCUGCCUGGACCCAUACUUCCCCACCAGUCAAGCCAAAGCAGUGAGGGAAGCACAAUAAAGCCUCGAUCCGCAGCAAUGAUCACAGUAAUGUCUGUGUUUGGAAGGUACAAGAAGGACAAGUAGGGCUGCCUGGCCAGCACAGAGCCUGGGACAAGCAGUGAGUAGAUGGCCCACACUGGUGGCACGGGUGGGCAGCAAGAGGAGGUGAGCACAGUGAAGGGAAGAAAGCAGUGCCCAAAAACCCAUCAGAGAGAAGGCAGAAAGAAGCACAGCUCUGCAGGGUGCAGAUGAGGCCACCACACCAUGCUCCCUAUGGGCACACCAAGCCCUGCCAAGGGAUGGCACAGGGAUGUCAGUGGGAAACUUCAGAGAUAUCAAAACACUUAGAAAGAAAACAAGUAGCCAAAAGAUGGAGGCUUCUCCCUGAACCCUGCACUGCCAGGCUCUGCAGGAGGCUCUGGGGUGCCUGGGCUCUCUGGGUCGUGCCCCCAUCAGUGCACAUAGAUGUGCACGGAGAGCUGAGGGUCCUGGCUGUGCUAACACAGGAUCUGCAGGACUCCAGUGAAUACAUGGGACUGCAGCUCAUCCCCAGGAUAAUGAAAGAGGGAACCGGAGAGCAGCCAGUGCGAGAAUGCCACAGGGGAGCAAGAGCUACAGGAUGAAACCUAGAAGGCAGCAGGUCCCAGGAAGCACAAAUCCCUCAAGAAAACCAGAGACCCGCGGGUCAAGGCAGGGAGAUCCGAGGGGUGCGGCGCAGGGUUGGCUUCAGCCUGGCCUCCCCAUCCCAGCUCUGGGCCGCACACAUGUUCUGCUGCGGGCUGUUCCCAGCCAGCCGCGGCCUGGCUGACUUUAGCAAAGCCCCCAAGGACUUUUCUCCUCCACCCAGGCUCCGACUGCACCUCAGCUCUCAGCUGUGCAGCCCCCGAAGCUGCCCACACCCUCAUGUUGACCUCUCUCUGCCUGCGAGAGGAGGCUCGGGAGGAAGGGAGGAGUGGGCCGGGGAGAAAAGCCCCUGACACAUCAGGCAGCCCCCACGUUCCCCGCAGAACGGGCAGCGGCCAUCCCGGGGGCCCCGGCGCAGCUGGGCCGGGAUCUGCAUGCACUGCCCUCCCCGAACAUGUGCAGUUCCUGUUUGCUGUGUCUGUACAAGGCGGUGGGAAGUGGGGAAUUUACUUACACCUCCCGCUUAACAACCCUGGGAGGCUGGAAGGCUUCAGGCCGCUUUAAUUUACAGCCCAUCUCUCCAAUCUCUCACUCAUUCGCUGCUGCUUUCUUCCUUAUUGUAUUAAUGUGACCCAGGUACCUGCCAACAGUAAUGGACUCGCUUGCGGGGGCGGCACAAUUUAUACCUUUGCCUUGAUACGAAUUUCUCGAAAUUCAAAUGCAAAUAUAAAAAAAAAAAAAAAAAAAAGGAGAAGAAGAUGAAAAAAAGGGGGAAAAAAAAAAAAAAAAAGAAAAAAAAAAAAGGCAAAA